ACUCAUCUUUAUCUCAAGGUUCGACAACGCGUGUUUAUUUUUUGAUGGAGAGGUUAAGCAAGAAAGUAAACAUUCGAUUUGAUUACAGCCAGUUUAUAAGAUACUUUUCAUACGAUUACAAUGUAUAAAUCGGGUUUUAAGAUAGUUAUAACGAUUUGUUUUGUUUUGUUUGUUACCGCUGUGUUUGGUGAUGAUGAACUGGCUUUUAAUAAUCCUUACAUCGGCGAUGUAAAACCAAUAAAAUUACCAAAAAAGUCUUCUUCUGGCCAAUUCAUUCCGCUUCCUCCACUUCCAGAUAACGCAAUUGAAAGAAAACUUCUUAUGGACGUAAAUGAUCAAUCUUUACAAUACAUUCGAUUUAGGAGGUCAAAAUUUUCUGGGAAUAUGGAAAACGAAAAUGGAAACAGAGUUUAUUCUGAUAAUACCUGGAAAAAAGUUUUACGGCCUAAUUUGUAUUAAUAAUAAAAUUUUUUCAAUAAAAUGUCUAAAUUAUGUUUUUUAUGUGAUCGUUUGAUUUUAGGAGUAACUCAUAAGAACGAACUUUUGAAAAGGGGGGAUGUAUACCCGGAGACAAUUUCGUGUAAUUUAUAACUGCACCAGAUGUAUUUUAAAUUGCCACCGUGACGGUAUAGAAUUUAUGUAUGAACGUGGAGCGAUUGGGGGAUUCCUACGGCGGUGGCAUGUAUUUUCGUCGGUUAUGCGUUUUAUGAACGUAAUAUUUUAGAGGGCGCGCUUUAUGUUUGGAUCAGCAUCUUUAUGAUCUGGAUUCUUUGGCUUUAUCGUCCAAUAUCUGACCGCAAACAUUCUUUACGAAGUAAAUAUGACCCGGUGGUUAUUCGAAAUGCAUAACGUACUUUCAAACAAACACAUCGAUCAAAUAAGAUUAUAAGUUAUAUAUUAUAUAUUUUUAUGAAUACUUAUUAAACGACUCUAAAUA
rnacentral:misc_RNA from 1 species